rnacentral:rRNA from 1 species
UACGGGGGGUGCGAGCGUUGUCCGGAAUCACUGGGCGUAAAGGGCGCGUAGGUGGUUUGAUAAGGGUGUGGUGAAAGUCCGGGGCUCAACCCCGGAUCUGCCGUGCCGACUGUCAAACUCGAGGACUGUAGAGGCAGACGGAAUUCCGGGUGUAGCGGUGGAAUGCGUAGAGAUCCGGAGGAAGACCGGUGGCGAAGGCGGUCUGCUGGGCAGGUACUGACGCUGAAGCGCGAAAGCUAGGGGAGCAAACAGG